rnacentral:rRNA from 1 species
UACGGAGGAUCCAAGCGUUAUCCGGAUUUAUUGGGUUUAAAGGGUGCGCAGGCGGCCUUAUAAGUCAGUGGUGAAAUCUCUCGGCUCAACCGAGAAACUGCCAUUGAUACUGUAGGGCUAGAAUAUAGACGAAGUAGGCGGAAUGUAGCAUGUAGCGGUGAAAUGCUUAGAUAUGCUACAGAACACCGAUCGCGAAGGCAGCUUACUAGACUAUUAUUGACGCUAAUGCACGAAAGCGUGGGGAGCGAACAGG